AGAGAGAGACAUGCGCGCAUAUCAAUAAGCGGAGGAAAAGAAACUAACAAGGAUUCCCCUUAGUAACGGCGAGUGAAGCGGGAAGAGCUCAAAUUUGAAAUCUUCAAGGUUCUACCUUGACGAAUUGUAGUUUAUAGAAGUGUUUUCUGUUAGUGGAGUGGCAAAAGUUCUUUGGAAUAGGACAUCAUAGAGGGUGAGAAUCCCGUAUUUGGUCAUUCCUCCUAGCGUUGUGAUACACUUUCAACGAGUCGGAUUGUUUGGGAAUGCAGUCCAAAAUGGGUGGUAAAUUUCAUCUAAAGCUAAAUAUUGGCGAGAGACCGAUAGCGAACAAGUACCGUGAGGGAAAGAUGAAAAGAACUUUGAAAAGAGAGUUAAACAGUACGUGAAAUUGUCAAAAGGGAAGCGUUUGACACCAGUGUUGUUUUUCCGAAAAUCAAUUACGAAUGUUUUAUUUUUGAGGAGUUAUGACUUCAUCGGCUUGCUCCUUUCUUUACGAAACUUUCUUAAUGCACUUUUCGGUUAACAAGUCAACAUCAAUUUCUUUUGUUGUAAAGGGUAUGAGGAAGGUGGCUUUCUUUUCGGAGAGAAGUGUUUAUAGCCUUGUGCCUCUGCAAUCGGAGAGAUUGAGGUCUGCAGCGUAGAUCCUUCGGGGUUAGAUACGUUUGUGCUAAGUUAUAGCUUUUCAUAGACAACUUGUUGACUAUGUUUAGUCUUGUAGCUUACUCGCUGACGCUAUUUUACCUACGCUUAGGAUGUUGAUAGUCACAGCGUGUAC
rnacentral:rRNA from 1 species